rnacentral:rRNA from 1 species
UGAGGAAUAUUGGUCAAUGGGCGCAAGCCUGAACCAGCCAUGCCGCGUGCAGGAUGAAGCAUCUAUGGUGUGUAAACUGCUUUUGUACGGGAAGAAACCACCCCUCGUGAGGGGUAUUGACGGUACCGUAAGAAUAAGGAUCGGCUAACUCCGUGCCAGCAGCCGCGGUAAUACGGAGGAUCCAAGCGUUAUCCGGAAUCAUUGGGUUUAAAGGGUCCGUAGGCGGGUCUGUAAGUCAGUGGUGAAAUCUCCCCGCUCAACGGGGAAACUGCCAUUGAUACUGCAGGUAUUGAGUUAUAGGGAAGUAACUAAUAUAUGGAGUGUAGCGGUGAAAUGCAUAGAGAAUGCAUGGAAUACCGAGUGCGAAGGCAGGUUACUACCGAUGGAUUGACGCUGGUGGGCGAAAGCGUGGGUAGAAAA